rnacentral:lncRNA from 1 species
UGAAUGAAAACAAAUGUAAGUGAAGAUGAGAUUAAUGAUAACGAGUUGUUCAAGUCACACUGGAUGAACAUCCAUUUCACAUGGAGGAGUGCACCAAAAAAAAAAAAAAAAGAUUUCGUUUAAGCAAUCACCACCCAUGUGCUAUAAGUUUGAUGAAAACACGUGGACAAUAUUAUACAUACUAUAGAAGUUUACGAAAUAAAGUGAUUUUUUAAAUAUCUUAUAGGCAUUCAUGGACUUCUACGCCUUCAUCACACUCGUCGGCGCUAGAACAUAAACGGUUUCAUAUUGAUUGAUGUGCUUUUGGUUGCCAUGCUUGUAUGGUUGAGAAGCAAAGUAUGUCCUCCUGAUAUUUGAAACGAAGUUUUUUGGCAUAUCCUAGGUUGUCUCAUUGGUUAUGAAUUUUGCAUACUUCAUAACAAAAACUUUGCAUAUCGUGGCUACAAUUAUAAUAAAAUAUGUAAUGUGAGAUUG